GCGAGAGUGGCGGAACAGGUAGACGCGCCGGCCUCAGAAGUCGGUGAUGGAGACAUCGUACGGGUUCGAUUCCCGUCUUUCGCACCA
rnacentral:tRNA from 1 species